CAGGUCUUUUCAGCUUCAUCAUCCAAACUCUGAAGGCCUUCUCCAUCACCACCUGCCUGGUGCCUCAUCUGCUGGUCUCUCUUUUGGGGCCACAGUUACCACCAAAGAAGGCAUAGGAAGUACCCAAAACAGGAUUCACCUAGUUCAAGGUGGAUCCUCUGUGUUCCUUGCUUUUAGGAAAAGAUUACUAAAGGCCAUCCACCCAGCAUGGAUUCCACACCACAGGCAUGAUGAUGAGCAUCUGUAUUUGCUAAGGAACUACCUGGAGCCCUCCACAGAGCAGUCCAUGGGAAGCUUGGGGCUUCACACCCAACACAGAGCACAACUUGGGGC